UACGGAGGAUGCGAGCGUUAUCCGGAUUUAUUGGGUUUAAAGGGUGCGUAGGCGGCUUUUUAAGUCAGCGGUGAAAUUUUGCAGCUUAACUGUAACAGUGCCGUUGAUACUGGGGAGCUAGGAUUUGGUUGCUGUGGGUGGAAUGUGUGGUGUAGCGGUGAAAUGCGCAGAUAUCAGGAGGAACACCAAUGGCGAAGGCAGGUCUCUGGGCAGUUACUGACGCUGAGGAGCGAAAGCAUGGGUAGCGAACAGGAUUAGA
rnacentral:rRNA from 1 species